rnacentral:tRNA from 1 species
AAAAAUUUAGUUAAAUAAUAACAUUAGUUUGUCAAACUAAAAUUACUAAGUUAGUAAUUUUUU